AUCCUUGUAGCGCAAUGGAUAGCGCGUUGAACUUCUCAUUCAAAGGUCGUGGAUUCAAAUUCCACCGGAAAUG